GAACUGCGAUAAGUAAUGUGAAUUGCAGAAUUCAGUGAAUCAUCGAGUCUUUGAACGCACAUUGCGCCCCCUGGCAUUCCGGGGGGCAUGCCUGUCCGAGCGUCAUUGCUGCCCUUCAAGCCCGGCUUGUGUGUUGGGUCGUCGUCCCCUCCGGGGGACGGGCCCGAAAGGCAGCGGCGGCACCGCGUCCGGUCCUCGAGCGUAUGGGGCUUUGUCACCCGCUCGAUAAGGACCGGCCGGGCGCCAGCCGGCGUCUCCAACCUUUUUUUCUCAGGUUGACCUCGGAUCAGGUAGGGAUACCCGCUGAACUUAAGA
rnacentral:misc_RNA from 1 species